rnacentral:rRNA from 1 species
UGUAAGCGUAUACCAAAGUUGUUGCAGUUAAAACGCUCGUAGUCGGAAUUUGGCAGUUCCGGAAGUGUGCACGUCGUGUGCGCACUUUGCGGGGACUGCUUUUGUGGUCUUGCGUAGGAUGAGGCACUUUCAUUAGUGAACGUCCUCACGCAACCACUCUUUACUGUGAGAAAAUCAGAGUGCUCAAAGCAGGCAUUUGCCGUGAUUGUAUUAGCAUGGAAUAAUAGAAUAGGACUCGGUUCUAUUUUGUUGGUUUGUUGGGACUGAGUAAUGAUUAAGAGGGACAGUUGGGGGCAUUUGUAUUCCGGCGCUAGAGGUGAAAUUCUUAGAUUGCCGGAAGACAAACUGCUGCGAAAGCGUCUGCCAAGGAUGUUUUCAUUGA